rnacentral:rRNA from 1 species
CUACGGGAGGCAGCAGUGAGGAAUAUUGCGCAAUGGGGGAAACCCUGACGCAGCGACGCCGCGUGGAUGAUGAAGGCCUUCGGGUCGUAAAAUCCUGUCAGAAGGAAAGAAGUACAUGGUAGCUAAUAUCUAUCAUGUUUGACGGUACCUUCAAAGGAAGCACCGGCUAACUCCGUGCCAGCAGCCGCGGUAAUACGGAGGGUGCAAGCGUUGUUCGGAAUUACUGGGCGUAAAGCGCGCGUAGGCGGCUUUGUAAGUCAGAUGUGAAAGCCCAUGGCUCAACCAUGGACGUGCAUUUGAUACUGAAAGGCUUGAGUACUGGAGGGGGUGGUGGAAUUCCCGGUGUAGAGGUGAAAUUCGUAGAUAUCGGGAGGAAUACCGGUGGCGAAGGCGACCAUCUGGCCAGAUACUGACGCUGAGGUGCGAAAGCGUGGGGAGCAAACAGGAUUAGAUACCCCGGUAGUC